UGGAUAUCUUCAUCGACAUCUGUAUGUACGGACUACAGAGCCACGCAUGGAACAGGUUUCUGGUUUUUGUCCUUUCUGUUUGUGGAUGUCCAGGACCAUACCCUCUACCUGAAGACGUUUGACAAAUGUCUAACAGUUGGGGAGACCUCAUCUCUCCAAAUGGCGACGUGCGAUGGAAAUUUGAAUCAAAGAUGGAUGUUCGAGAAAUCUAAAUUUGAAAACCAACGCGUUCUCAGGAAUUACAGAUAAACCGUCA